rnacentral:rRNA from 1 species
AUAGCCUAACGGCUGAACCAGCAACUUGGAGGAAUGUAUAGCAAUUGCUAACUGCACUAAGAAUCUUAGUGUAAAAUCGUAUUUGUCGAAUAAAAUUCUGGAUGGUAUUAUGAUAAUGACAUUAACUGUUCAUAAGUCUUGACCAAAUUACGUGCCAGCAGUCGCGGUAAUACGUAGAAGACAAGUGUUAUUCAUCUUUAAUAGGUUUAAAGGGUACUUAGACGGUAAAUAGAGCCUCGAAAAGGGACUAGUUUGCUAGAGUUUUAUGUGAAGAAGUAUUAAAGUACUGCUGGUGUAGAGAUGAAAUUCUGUCAUACCUUGAAUGGCACAGGUUACGGCGAAAGCAUCUUCUUAUGUAAAAACUGACGUUGAAGGACGAAGGCUUUGUGUCUCGAACAGGAUUAGAUACCCUAGUAGUCUAAGCAGACAAUGAUGAAUGUCAUAGAUUAGAUGUAAUUUGAUCUAUAAAUGAAAGUGUAAGCAUUCCACCUCAAGAGUAAUUUGGCAACAUUGGAACUGAAAUCAUUAGACCGUUUCUGAAACCAGUAGUGAAGUAUGUUGUUUAAUUUGAUAAUCCGCAAAAAACCUUACCACCUUAAUAUGAAUAGAUAAUUUUUAUCAUACAAGCGUUGCACGGCUGUCUUCAGUUAAUGUCGUGAGAUUUUGGUUAGUUCCAUAAAAUUAACGUAAACCCUUACUUUAUUUUAAAAUAAAGUAGUUCACCGCUAUAUUGGAUGUGAUAAGAGGGAUCAAGACAAGUCAUCAUGACCUAAUUAAGUUAUUGU